rnacentral:rRNA from 1 species
GAUGAACGCUGGCGGCGUGCCUAAUACAUGCAAGUCGAGCGAACGGACGUGAAGCUUGCUUCUCUGAUGUUAGCGGCGGACGGGUGAGUAACACGUGGAUAACCUACCUAUAAGACUGGGAUAACUUCGGGAAACCGUAGCUAAUACCGGAUAAUAUUUUGAACCGCAUGGUUCAAAAGUGAAAGACGGUCUUGCUGUCACUUAUAGAUGGAUCCGCGCUGCAUUAGCUAGUUGGUAAGGUAACGGCUUACCAAGGCAACGAUGCAUAGCCGACCUGAGAGAGUGAUCGGCCACACUGGAACUGAGACACGGUCCAGACUCCUACGGGAGGCAGCAGUAGGGAAUCUUCCGCAAAGGGCGAAAGCCUGACGGAGCAACGCCGCGUGAGUGAUGAAGGUCUUCGGAGCGUAAAACUCUGUUAUUAGGGAAGAACAUAUGUGUAAGUAACUGUGCACAUCUUGACGGUACCUAAUCAGAAAGCCACGGCUAACUACGUG